UCACUACACCAGGUUUCUUGGAUCAUUUCUGAAGUGUGAGCACUGCACCACAAGGUGUCUUGAAUCAUCCCUGAGGUAGGACCACUACACUAGGAGAUGUCUUGGAUCAUCCCUGAGGUGUGAGCACUGUACCAGGAGGUGUCUUGGAUCAUCCCUGAGGUGCAGUGAUAUGGUUUGGUCAUGUCCCCACCCAAAUCUCAUCUUGAAUUGUAGCUCCCAUAAUCCCCACGUCAUAGAAGGGACCCUGUGGGAGGUAACUGAAUCAUGGAGGGAGUUACCUCCAUGCUGUUUUCAUGACAGUGAGUUAGUUUUCAGAUCUGAUGGUUUUAUAAGGAGCUUUUCCCCCAUUUACUUGGCACUUCUCCUUCCUGCCAUCCUGUAAAGAAGGAUGUGUUUACUUCCUUCCACUUUGAUUGUAAGUUGUUUGAGGCCUCCUCAGCCCCACAGAACUAUGAGUCAUUUAAAUCUUCUUUCUUUAUAAAUUACCCAGUCUUGGGCAGUUCUUUAUAGCAGUGUGAGAUCAGACUAAUAAACACCCCCAUGAUUUAAUUACCUCCCACCAGGUCCCUCCCAUGACACAUGUGGAUUAUGAGAACUACAAUUCAAGAUGAGAUUUGGGUGGGACGCAGCCAAAACAUGUCAUUCCAUUCAUGGUCCCUUUAAAAUAUGUCCUCACAUUUCAAAACACAAUUAUGUACUUCCAACAGUCCCCCAAAGUCUUAAUUCAUUCCGUCAUUAUCCCCAAAGUCCAAAUCUAAAGUCUCAUCUGAGACAAGGCAAAUUCCUUCUGCCUAUGAGCCUGUAAAAUCAAAAGUGAGUCAAUUACUUCCAAGAUACAAUGGAGAUACAGGCAUUGGACAAAUACACCCAUUCCAAAUGAGAAAAAUUGGCCAAAACAAAGAGGCUCCAGGCCCCACCCAAGUCCAAAAUCCAACAGGGCAGUAACCAAACCUUAAAGUUCCAGAAUAAUCUCCUUUAACUCCGUGUCUCACAUCAGGUCAUGCUGAUGCAAGAGGUGGGCUCCCAUGGCCUUGGACUGCUUCACCCCUGUGGCUUUGCUUUCACAAGAUGGCAUUGAGUGUCUGAGGCAUUUCCAGGUGCACAGUGCAAGCUGUCAGCGGAUCUACCAUUCUGGGGUCUGAAGGACGGUGGUACUCCUCUCACAGUUCAACUGGGCAGCACCCCCAUGGGGACUUCCUUUGGGGGCUCCAAUCCCACAUCUCCCUUCUUCAAUGCCCUAGCAGAGGUUCUCCAUGAGCGCUUUGCCCCUACAGCAGACUUCUGCCUGUACAUCCAGGCACCUUCCCAACAUCUAUGACUGUCUUUGAACUGCUCAUAAAGAGUGCUGAUUAAUGUGACACUUCACAUGCCCACCAUGAAAUCAGGAAGGCCCUUAGAUCUCCUUCAAACCCGCGGUGCCGGUGCCUUCGCCCCAUCAAUCAGAGAUGAAACUGUGAUUGCGUUGCAAGGAGACGAGGCCAUCCUGGAGUUCUGCCAUGAAAGAAUCGCUGGGACUCAAAGGAGGGGAAAACAAGGGAAGGAGAGGGGAGGAAGGGAAAGAGAAGCUGCUUCCAGAAGGAAUAAAUUUGUGCGUGUACUUUGA